rnacentral:rRNA from 1 species
GCAGUCGAGCGAUGGAUUAAGAGCUUGCUCUUAUGAAGUUAGCGGCGGACGGGUGAGUAACACGUGGGUAACCUGCCCAUAAGACUGGGAUAACUCCGGGAAACCGGGGCUAAUACCGGAUAACAUUUUGAACCGCAUGGUUCGAAAUUGAAAGGCGGCUUCGGCUGUCACUUAUGGAUGGACCCGCGUCGCAUUAGCUAGUUGGUGAGGUAACGGCUCACCAAGGCAACGAUGCGUAGCCGACCUGAGAGGGUGAUCGGCCACACUGGGACUGAGACACGGCCCAGACUCCUACGGGAGGCAGCAGUAGGGAAUCUUCCGCAAUGGACGAAAGUCUGACGGAGCAACGCCGCGUGAGUGAUGAAGGCUUUCGGGUCGUAAAACUCUGUUGUUAGGGAAGAACAAGUGCUAGUUGAAUAA